rnacentral:rRNA from 1 species
GGGACACGUGGUAUCCUGUCUGAAUAUGGGGGGACCAUCCUCCAAGGCUAAAUACUCCUGACUGACCGAUAGUGAACCAGUACCGUGAGGGAAAGGCGAAAAGAACCCCGGCGAGGGGAGUGAAAAAGAACCUGAAACCGUGUACGUACAAGCAGUGGGAGCACGCUUCGGCGUGUGACUGCGUACCUUUUGUAUAAUGGGUCAGCGACUUAUAUUCUGUAGCAAGGUUAACCGAAUAGGGGAGCCGAAGGGAAACCGAGUCUUAACUGGGCGUUAAGUUGCAGGGUAUAGACCCGAAACCCGGUGAUCUAGCCAUGGGCAGGUUGAAGGUUGGGUAACACUAACUGGAGGACCGAACCGACUAAUGUUGAAAAAUUAGCGGAUGACUUGUGGCUGGGGGUGAAAGGCCAAUCAAACCGGGAGAUAGCUGGUUCUCCCCGAAAGCUAUUUAGGUAGCGCCUCGUGAAUUCAUCUCCGGGGGUAGAGCACUGUUUCGGCAAGGGGGUCAUCCCGACUUACCAACCCGAUGCAAACUGCGAAUACCGGAGAAUGUUAUCACGGGAGACACACGGCGGGUGCUAACGUCCGUCGUGAAGAGGGAAACAACCCAGACCGCCAGCUAAGGUCCCAAAGUCAUGGUUAAGUGGGAAACGAUGUGGGAAGGCCCAGACAGCCAGGAUGUUGGCUUAGAAGCAGCCAUCAUUUAAAGAAAGCGUAAUAGCUCACUGGUCGAGUCGGCCUGCGCGGAAGAUGUAACGGGGCUAAACCAUGCACCGAAGCUGCGGCAGCGACGCUGAUGCGUUGUUGGGUAGGGGAGCGUUCUGUAAGCCUGCGAAGGUGUGCUGUGAGGCAUGCUGGAGGUAUCAGAAGUGCGAAUGCUGACAUAAGUAACGAUAAAGCGGGUGAAAAGCCCGCUCGCCGGAAGACCAAGGGUUCCUGUCCAACGUUAAUCGGGGCAGGGUGAGUCGACCCCUAAGGCGAGGCCGAAAGGCGUAGUCGAUGGGAAACAGGUUAAUAUUCCUGUACUUGGUGUUACUGCGAAGGGGGGACGGAGAAGGCUAUGUUGGCCGGGCGACGGUUGUCCCGGUUUAAGCGUGUAGGCUGGUUUUCCAGGCAAAUCCGGAAAAUCAAGGCUGAGGCGUGAUGACGAGGCACUACGGUGCUGAAGCAACAAAUGCCCUGCUUCCAGGAAAAGCCUCUAAGCAUCAGGUAACAUCAAAUCGUACCCCAAACCGACACAGGUGGUCAGGUAGAGAAUACCAAGGCGCUUGAGAGAACUCGGGUGAAGGAACUAGGCAAAAUGGUGCCGUAACUUCGGGAGAAGGCACGCUGAUAUGUAGGUGAGGUCCCUCGCGGAUGGAGCUGAAAUCAGUCGAAGAUACCAGCUGGCUGCAACUGUUUAUUAAAAACACAGCACUGUGCAAACACGAAAGUGGACGUAUACGGUGUGACGCCUGCCCGGUGCCGGAAGGUUAAUUGAUGGGGUUAGCGCAAGCGAAGCUCUUGAUCGAAGCCCCGGUAAACGGCGGCCGUAACUAUAACGGUCCUAAGGUAGCGAAAUUCCUUGUCGGGUAAGUUCCGACCUGCACGAAUGGCGUAAUGAUGGCCAGGCUGUCUCCACCCGAGACUCAGUGAAAUUGAACUCGCUGUGAAGAUGCAGUGUACCCGCGGCAAGACGGAAAGACCCCGUGAACCUUUACUAUAGCUUGACACUGAACAUUGAGCCUUGAUG